UGAGCAAUCUGCCCUUCUCAUCGGAAUAAGCGUUGGAAACGACGCCUAAUGCCGAAUACGACCUCCUUUCGCAUGAUCGGAGGUGGAAAGCUCCGGCGGAGAAGGAUGAGCUCGCGGCCUAUCAGCUAGUUGGUGUGGGUAAUGGCCCACAAGGCGACGACGGGUAGCCGGCCUGAGAGGGUGACCCGGCCACACUGGGACUGAGACACGGCCCAGACCUCCGUACGGGAGCAG
rnacentral:rRNA from 1 species